rfam:Gossypium raimondii Chr12_contig_28, whole genome shotgun sequence.
AGUCCAUGGUGAGGACACCUCAAGAAAUCUUUAAAUCUUUCCCAUGUUUUAUAAAGAGUUUCGAUAUCAAACUAAACAAAAAAAGAGAUGUCGUUCCUCAACUU